rnacentral:rRNA from 1 species
AGGACGAACGCUGGCGGCGUGCCUAACACAUGCAAGUCGAACGGAGUAUUCAGCAAUGGAUACUUAGUGGCGAACGGGUGAGUAACGCGUAGACAACCUGCCUUCUAGAUGGGGACAACACUGCGAAAGUGGUGCUAAUACCGAAUGUCGUAUCUUGUGCGCAUGUAUGAGAUACCAAAGGUGGCCUCUGAAAAUGCUACCGCUAGAAGAUGGGUCUGCGUCUGAUUAGCUAGUUGGUGAGGUAAUGGCUCACCAAGGCGACGAUCAGUAGCCGGUCUGAGAGGAUGAACGGCCACACUGGGACUGAGACACGGCCCAGACUCCUACGGGAGGCAGCAGUGGGGAAUCUUCCGCAAUGGACGAAAGUCUGACGGAGCAACGCCGCGUGAGUGAAGAAGGUUUUCGGAUCGUAAAGCUCUGUCUUUUAGGACGAAUGUACGCUAUGUAAAUAAUGUAGUGUAAUGACGGUACUGAAGGAGGAAGCCACGGCUAACUACGUGCCAGCAGCCACGGUAAUACGUAGGUGGCGAGCGUUGUCCGGAAUCAUUGGGCGUAAAGGGCGCGUAGGCGGGAUGAUAAGUCCGUCUUAAAAGUUCGGGGCUCAACCCCGUGAUGGGAUGGAAACUGUCAUUCUUGAGUGCAGGAGAGGAAAGUGGAAUUCCCAGUGUAGCGGUGAAAUGCGUAGAUAUUGGGAGGAACACCAGUGGCGAAGGCGACUUUCUGGACUGUGUCUGACGCUGAGGCGCGAAAGCUAGGGAAGUGAACGGGAUUAGAUACCCCGGUAAUCCUAGCCGUAAACGAUGGGUACUAGGUGUAGAGGGUAUCGACCCCUUCUGUGCCGGAGUUAACGCAAUAAGUACCCCGCCUGGGGAGUACGGCCGCAAGGUUGAA